GGCUCAGUGGUUAAGAGCACUGGUUGCUCUUCCAGAGGACCUGGGUUCAAUUCCCAG
rnacentral:tRNA from 1 species